CUGGGAGUAUUAUUGCUGUGGAGCUCUGUUAUACACUCAGACACAUUACUGGGAGUAUUAUUGCUGUGGAGCUCUGUUAUACGCUCAGACACGUUACUGGGAGUAUUAUUGCUGUGGAGCUCUGUUAUACGCUCAGACACGUUACUGGGAGUAUUAUUGCUGUGGAGCUCUGUUAUACCCUCAGACACAUUACUGAGAGUAUUAUUGCUGUGGAGCUCUGUUAUACACACAGACACAUUACUGGGAGUAUUAUUGCUGUGGUGCUCUGUUAUACACUCAGACACAUUACUGAGAGUAUUAUUGCUGUGGAGCUCUGUUAUACACUCAGACACAUUACUGGGAG
rnacentral:lncRNA from 1 species